GGAUAGAGACGUUAAACUCUCUGAGAAAAUUCCAACUGCAUGAACACUUCCCAAAGAAGCUGGAAGCUCCUGAAGAGAAAGCUGUGUGCGAAUAUGAACAAGUUUCUUUCUACCCAUGCCCUUGGCUCAACAUUUGGGAUGUCAUUGAACUUCAGAGGGACUUCUCUUCUUUGGUUUUAUCAUGAAUCCUGGAAUGAAAGCCAGCUGCCGAUAACAAUGGCUCUUUCCCAUCAGAAUACAUAGCAUCUAACUGGACCAAGAACUUCGCACAAAGAUUGACAUAGGGAGUUGCUCCUAAGAACAUUUUCUGCCCCAAAUAUCCUGCAUGUAAGUAGGCUCCCAGAAUCAGUCUCACUUGAAACUUGUGAUCUGAUGGGUGGAAUCAAGAACAGUUUCAGAAAAUAGAUUUAAAAAAGAGAGUCUGAAGUUAGAUGUCUCCCAUGGGCACCUGAAACUGAAGACUAUAACUUUUAUUUGUGGGAGCAGUAUUAAUAGGUAUCGAUAUGACAUGUUGUAGCAUAUUAUUAAAAACUUAUAAUGGAGUAGAAUGGGACAGCAAUGGAAGAAAAUGGCCUGCGUGAUAUCACCUCAGUCAUUUAAAAUAUUGUGUGGCAAUAAUUAAUUUUAAGUGAUAGAGAUUAGCUACAUUUGAUAUUAUAUUGCUUGCUAUUACUGUUGAGGAAUAUAGCUUAGCUCAGUGUUACCAGGGCAGUCGAGAAAGACAUUAAAAUGCAGAAAUUAAAGGAAUUACAUGUGAAUUCUGAAAGUUAAAUGGCCUCCAUGGUAGCAGGACUUUCUUGCCUCUCAAGAAAAGAAUUUUGUCAAGGUGGUAGAUUUCUGAAGAAUGUUAGCUUUUCAGCUAUAGCAAAUGACACAUAGCAAGACCAAAAACAGCAUAUUCAGAGGUUAUGAAACCCUGGGAUUAAUCAUAAAUCAUGAAUCCUGAAGCCUCAUGGUCCCUUUGAGCUUGCAAAGUUAGCACACACAUCCAUCUUAAAGGAUACCUCUAUUUCUAAAACAAAAUCUAUAGCCAACAUAUAAUAUAACCUUUCCAGGGAAGUAGUGUGUCUGCUAAAGAAGGAAAAAGACCAUACAGAGAAACACCAACAAGACCAACUCGACAUGUACUAGCACAAGCCAGGAAAGUUGUUAUGAGAUUUAUUCCUGAGGCACUGAAUCAGUGUAAUAGAACAUAAGUUGGAAAAGUAAGAGUUUAUUUGCUGUUCUCCUGGGAUACAGAGUCAGUCAAACUCCUUGGCAAGACCCUAGGAGAAAGUGUUAACAUACAGCUCCUUGGAAGCUUGGAAAAACAAAGGUUUGCUCUAAAUGAAGCAAAAUAGAAGAGCUGUUUUGUGACAAACAGUUAGGUGGUGACCAAUAGGCAAAAAAAAAAAAAAAAAAAACAGUUUAUGUGGCCACAGACUCUACCAGAUGAUAAUAUUUCAGAGAGCUAAAACUCUGUUGGCCAAUGCACCAAGGACGACACUGUGAGAGAAAUGACAGCGUGCUAAGAACAUUAAGGGUUUAUCAUAACCAUGAUAGGAGAGGAUGCUUUUAUACGAGCGGAACUGAAGGUAAUUGAGGUUAUAAGUAAGCUAUGCAUAGUUACUAUACUUAUACUCUAGGUAAGUCUAAAUAUUGCCAAAGAGCUGACCUUCAGAGGGCUAUGAAAUGAUUAACAGGAUACAGUAUUCCUAGAUGGAAAGAUAAAUGGGUAGCCAACAGGGACAUUGAUUUAUAUCACAAAAAAGAGAGAGAAUAUUUGUGAAUAGAAGGCUAAGAUAAUUUGUUUCAAUAAAAUGGCAAUCCUAUAUCUAAUUUUCACACCUUAGCCAAAUUUUAGAUUCAGAACCCAAUGGCUGAAGGAGUGACUAAGCCUAUAGGAGAGACAGGGCUGCAUGUAUAGGGACUAAUGUAUAGGGACAGCAAAACCACGUCCCAGUUCUUCCAAGGGGACAUAUAAACAUUUAUUAAUGAAAUCAUAUGCUAGUUAAGGAGGAAUAUCCACACAUUUCAGUGACUCUUGGACAUAGCAUUUACGAUGACAAUUAUAUACAAGACCCGAAAUGCUACAAUUAGAAUAGGUAUAGUGAAAAUGGAGCUCUUGGCUAAGUAUGACUACAAAGUUUUUAUCGCUGUCUCUGAAAUGUAAGUCAUACAACUUAAACCUUGUAAGUCAAGACUGGUUUAGCCUAAAGUGAGUGAAAGUGCCCAUACACCUUUAGUAAAGUGCACUUUAAAAAACACACACACACAAAACACCAAACAAAAUGACAAUGACAGCAAACACCAGGAACGUGGCACUCAAGCAGUAAAAGCAAAGACGAAGGCCUAAAGGAGAAACAGUUGCUUUGUUGUACAAUUUGACUUAGUCUCGUGAUAUGAAAACAUUUGGAUCACAUAGGAUGCUAGUAUAGCACUAUAAAGUCAACAAAAUAGUCCAAAUUGCAGCUUCUGGUCAAGAUAUGUUAUCAUUGCUGAAAUGGACAAAUAAAGACUUAGGUGUAUGUGCUAUGAGCCCACAGAUCUGGCAAGUGACUUAUUCUCCAUCUCAGUGAAAAUGGUGAAUUAACAUUCACGUGAAACAGGAUAUCUACAGUAUUGACCCAGACAACUUUAAAUUUCCAGUCUUCUGUCAUAAUCCGGUUCCAAGGGAUACUAGCAAUCUAAAUAUUCUGUACUGUGCCACAUUGUUCCACUACCUUGAGGCCUCAGAUCAGUUGGAGCAAAUGAGUACAAACCGCCAAGUAUGCUGGAGACCCUGGUGUGUUCUCUUCAGCUAGUCACGUAAUCGUCAAACUCUGACCUCCACUGUCAUUGCAGUAACAGUCUACGUCUUGGUUGUGAGAUGCCUCUUCAGAGGAAGGGAUUAUAUUUUAAAAAUCUAUACUUUGUGGGCAAGUGCAUCUAGCUUUCAGAGGGAUGAUGCUACCAUUUAGUAACAUGGCAAAAGUCCUGUUAAACUCUAAGAGACAUUUGGUCAUGCAGUUACUUUGGAUUCUCUGUAUAAAAGACCAACAGAUUAUCAGGAGGAAAUCAGAUGCUGCUGCAUUGUGUGACUAGUAAGGGAUACGUGUGGCAACCUUAGGACAGAAAGCUAUUGCUUUGAGCACAUCUCCAUCUCUGUUCAAUUUUCAAGGUCUAACAGUCAUAUCCUGGAAGUGGCAAUGUAGCUUAGGGCUCAUAACUAAGAGUCUUGGUCAUCUCACCAGGCCCAGAACAUGAAUGAGCACCAGAUGUAUUCAUCGACAUUGAGAGGAAUCCAGAAUGAACAGCAGAAGAGAAAGAUGUUGAAAAGGAAUUAAAAUACAGAGGUAGAAAUCCAACAGGAAC
rnacentral:sRNA from 1 species